AUGAAGACACUUAGUGGACCUUUGUUCCUGUUCUUGUGGCUGCAGCUGGACUGUAUGAGUAGAGGAGAAGAGGUGGAGCAGUAUCCUUCUUUCCUGAGUGUCCGGGAGGGAGACAGCUUGGUUAUCAACUGCACUUACACAGACAGCACCUCCACAUACUUCUUCUGGUACAAGCAAGAACCCGGAACAGGUCUCCAGUUGCUUAUAUAUACUCUUUCAACUGUGGACAAGAAACAAGAACAAAGACUCACUGUCCUAUUGAAUAAGAACAAACAUUUUUCCCUGAACCUCACAGCCAGCCAUCCCGGGGACUCAGCCACCUACUUCUGCGCAGCAAGAGCACAGUGGUCUCUAAGCACCUGCAGCCUGUACCCAAACCUGCAACUGAGGCUGAAGCCCCACUUCUUUUUCUUUGCUACAGAAUUUCAAGUCUGUGUUGUAUUUUAA